GACGAACGCUGGCGGCGUGCUUAACACAUGCAAGUCGAGCGGUAAGGCCCUUUCGGGGGUACACGAGCGGCGAACGGGUGAGUAACACGUGGGUGACCUGCCUUUAGCUCUGGGAUAAGCCUGGGAAACUGGGUCUAAUACCGGAUAUGACCUUAUGGCGCAUGUUGUGGGGUGGAAAGCCUUGUGCGGCUAGGGAUGGGCCCGCGGCCUAUCAGCCUGGUUGGUGGGGUGAUGGCCACCAAGGCGACGACGGGUAGCCGGCCUGAGAGGGCGACCGGCCACACUGGGACUGAGACACGGCCCA
rnacentral:rRNA from 1 species